UGCAGGAGUGAGCCUGCUCGCGAUGGCGGUGGGUCAGUCUGGAAAUUCAAUGCCUGACAGGACGCCUUCGCGAGCAGGCUCGCUCCCACA
rnacentral:misc_RNA from 1 species